rnacentral:rRNA from 1 species
CCUACGGGAGGCAGCAGUGGGGAAUAUUGCACAAUGGGGGGAAGCCUGAUGCAGCGACGCCGCGUGAGUGAAGAAGGAUUUCGGUACGUAAAGCUCUAUCAGCAGGGAAGAAAAAAGGACGGUACAUGAGUAAGAAGCCCCGGCUAACUACGUGCCAGCAGCCGCGGUAAUACGGAGGGGGCAAGCGUUAUACGGAAUUACUGGGUGUAAAGGGAGCGUAGACGGCAAUGCAAGUCCGGAGUGGAAUGCGGCAGCUCAACUGCCGAACUGCCCUGGAAACUGGAUGGCUGGGGUGCCGGAGAGGUAGGCGGAAUUCCUGGUGUAGCGGUGAAAUGCGUAGAUAUCAGGAGGAACACCGGUGGCGAAGGCGGCUUACUGGACUGUAACUGACGUUGAGGCUCGAAAGCGUGGGGAGCAAACAGGAUUAGAUACCCGGGUAGUC